UAGCCAUUAAGCUUCAACCUAAAACCCUAAUCUUAAUCAACUAUUGCUCUAAACCCUAAUAAGCCUUCUUCUCCAAAACCCUGAUCUUAUUAGACAAUUGCUCUGAACUCUGCUCUUCUUGGUUUACUUCUCUCAAUUUGUUAGGCUCUCUCUCCCAUGAGGUGAAAAUGCCCUCGGUUCCCAAUAAUGUUUCCACCCAAAAUCAGCAGAGUGGUGGGGGAAGGAAAACUCAGGACGAUCGCCGAAAUCAACAAUCGUCAGCUUGGAGGCAGUGGAUUCUACAGCAGAGGAAGUCCUUACCAGUCGCUUCAGUCGAGAAGUGGAUUGUGGAGGAAGUGAAGAAGAAUGACACUUUAAUUGUUGUUGGAGAAACCGGAAGUGGGAAGACGACGCAAUUGCCACAGUUUUUGUACAAUGCUGGAUUUUGUCAUGAUGGGAGAGUUAUUGGCAUCACACAGCCUCGUCGAGUUGCAGCUGUUACUGUUGCAAAGCGUGUGGCUGAAGAAUGCAAUGUUGAGUUGGGCCAGAAAGUUGGGUAUUCAAUUAGAUUUGAGGAUGUCACAUCUAGCAGUACAAGGAUUAAGUACAUGACAGAUGGUUUGCUUCUGAGAGAAGCACUGCUGGACGCAUAUUUGUCUAAAUACAGCAUCAUAAUUGUGGAUGAAGCUCAUGAAAGAACAGUCCACACAGAUGUCUUGUUAGGCUUAUUGAAAAAUGUACAACUAGCUAGGUCAAAUUCUAUUGUUAAGCAACAUAAUUGUGGAGAUGUGGACAACAACACACAAAAUCACAACCAAACCUCCACUUUGCGGGCGUGUCAGGCUUUGAAGUAUACUCCUUUAAAAUUGAUUAUAAUGUCUGCCAGUUUGGAUGCUAGAGGUUUUUCAGAGUACUUUGGUGGUGCUAAAGCAGUUUACGUUCAAGGGCGACAAUACCCUGUAGAGAUUCUAUAUACAUAUCAACCAGAAAAAGAUUAUCCAGAUGCCACACUGAUUACUAUCUUUCAGAUCCACAUAGAGGAGGGGCCUGGAGAUAUUCUUGCAUUUCUAACUGGCCAAGAGGAGAUUGAAUCAAUGGAUAGACUUAUUCACGAGCGAGUUCGUCAACUCCCUGAAGGCAGUAAUAAAUUAAUCACUGCUCCUAUCCAUUCCUCUCUUCCUUCUGAGCAGCAAAUGAAUGUUUUCAAGCCUGCCCCAUCCGGCUUUCGCAAGGUUAUUCUUGCAACAAAUAUUGCUGAGACUUCUGUAACAAUACCUGGUAUAAAGUAUGUCAUUGAUCCUGGAUGGGUGAAAGUUCGUUCUUACAACCCAGUGACAGGAAUGGAGUCAUUAACCAUCAGUGAAAUCUCAAAAGCACAGGCUCUUCAGAGGAGUGGUCGCGCUGGUCGGGAGGGCCCAGGGAAAUGUUUUCGGUUGUAUACAGAAAGUGCCUUUAGUGAACUGAAGGAUUCUACAGUUCCAGAGAUCAAAAGGUGCAACCUUGCGAAUGUUGUACUACAGCUCAAAGCCCUUGGGAUUGAUGAUAUAUUAGGGUUUGAUUUCAUGGAAAAGCCUUCAAGGACAGCUAUAGUGAAAUCUCUGGAGCAGUUGCUCCUACAAGGGGCUCUGACGGAUGACUGCAAGCUGUCAGAUCCAGUUGGCCAUCAAAUGGCCAGGCUUCCUUUGGACCCUAUGUACUCUAAGGCACUCAUCGUGGCCAGCGAGUUCAAGUGCUUGGAAGAAAUGUUGAUAGCGGUUUCAAUGCUUUCUGUGGAAUCUAUUUUCUACUCUCCUCGUGAUAAGAUGGAAGAGGCAAAUGCUGCAAAGAAGAGAUUUUCAAGCCCCGAAGGGGACCAUAUUGCUUUGGUGAAUGUAUAUCGGGCAUCUGCGGAAUGCUUGGAGAAAAGAAACAAUGCAAAGAUGAAAGAGAAAGCGGUGGAAAAGGCUCUAAACAAAUGGUGCAGGGAGAACUUCAUCAACUACCGUGCUCUAAGGCAUGCUCGAGAUGUUCACAGUCAAAUCAAAGGGCAUGUAGAGCAUAUGGGCCUUGUUCUGUCAUCAUGUGGGGAUGACAUGCUUCAAUUCCGCAGAUGCCUUACUGCCUCUUUCUUCCUCAAUGUAGCAAGGAGAGGACCAGAUAGAUCAUACAGGACUACGGCUAGUGGUCAGAGCGUGCAUAUCCAUCCUUCUUCGGUAUUAUCUGAAAUAAAGCCAAAGCCGGAUUGCAUCAUCUUCAACGAAUUAGUUUACACAACUCAAAAUUAUGUCAGAAAUGUGACGAGGAUAGAUCCAUUGUGGUUGCCCGAACUAGCUCCUCAGUAUUAUGCUGCUGAAAGUUAAUCUUAUUAUGUUGUAUUUAUUUCCAUUGCCUCAAUACAACUUGGCAGCAUAGAUGUUUCUUCCUUUCCUUCCAUCUGCAGUUGGCUAGAAACCAGAAGCACCUUUCCUUUCCUUCUCCUUUCCUGCUGGCUGGAUAUGCGCAUCAACACCUGCAAUCCGACAAUGCAACAGCAGCUGCAGCUAGGCAAUCAGCAUUAGUGGCAGCCUGGCAGCAGUCAGUGCAGGAUUUCUGAGGGCCCAGUUGCUGGGAUCUUGUUUCUUUGUAUUCUUGAUGAAGAGGAGAGCUUGAGGAAAGAAUUAAUUCAGCUAAUUUGUAAUAAGUUGAGUUCAACUACCGAAUUGGUGAUUAGUGCUGAAAUUUUUAGAUUCGAGCUGGACUUUGGACAAUUCUUUGAUUUUGAUGACAUUCUUUCGGAAAUCUUCUUUUUGCCGAACUUUAGAAGAGUUGGGGACAAGCUUCCCUUCAGCCAGAGCUAGAGAGGAGCCUGCAUUAUUGGUUGUGUUGGUGUGAUUUUCUUUGGGUUUUACAAACCAAAAUGAGAAUUGCUGGAAUUUCUAUUGAUUCUCGAGUUUUAAUGGAAUUUCUUAUAUUUAGUCCAAUUACCUAAGCCUGGAUGACUUGAUUUUGAUCUUCGCUUCAUCUACGACUAGUUGGGAUCUUAUUUGAGCUGAUUUGAAGUGUUUUGGAGCUGAGGAUCACCCAGGUUACAUUCCCCUUUCCUCCCUCGGGUUGUGCUCCUUCCUACGAGUCAUAGGAGCUGCAGCAACAUCAACAUCAACAUCAACAUUCUGCAUCAGCAGAAUUUCAGCAGCCUGUAGCUGAGUUCAAGAUGGAAUUUUUGGAGAUUUUGAAAUCAAAAUUGCUGGGGAAUUGGUUGUUUGCAUUCUUGGUAAAGAGAUGACUUGUGGAGUGUUUUAAUUCAGCAAUUGACCUAGUAUGUUACGUUUAAUUCUUGAUAUGGUAAAGGUCGCUAAAAUUCAGGUUCUAUGCUGAAUUU